rnacentral:tRNA from 1 species
ACUGAAGUAGUUUAAUUUAAAACAUUAAGGUGUGGUCUUAAAUAAUAGAGUUCCUCUUUAGUA